CGUCGACGGUGGCGACGCGACGGCCGCGGGAACACCGGCGGCCCGAGUGGUGAUCGUGAUAUUGGGUCUAAAGGGUCCGUAGCCGGUUUGGUCAGUCCUCCGGGAAAUCUGAUAGCUCAACUAUUAGGCUUUCGGGGGAUACUGCCAGACUUGGAACCGGGAGAGGUAAGAGGUACUACAGGGGUAGGAGUGAAAUCUUGUAAUCCCUGUGGGACCACCUGUGGCGAAGGCGUCUUACCAGAACGGGUUCGACGGUGAGGGACGAAAGCUGGGGGGCACGAACCGGAUUAGAUACCCGGGUAGUCCCAGCCGUAAACGAUGCUCGCUAGGUGUCAGGCAUGGCGCGACCGUGUCUGGUGCCGCAGGGAAGCCGUGAAGCGAGCCACCUGGGAAGUACGGCCGCAAGGCUGAAACUUAAAGGAAUUGGCGGGGGAGCACAACAACGGGUGGAGCCCUGCGGUUUAAUUGGACUCAACGCCGGACAACUCACCGGGGGCGACAGCAAUAUGUAGGCCAAGCUGAAGACUUUGCCUGAAUCGCUGAGAGGUGGUGCAUGG
rnacentral:rRNA from 1 species